rnacentral:pre_miRNA from 1 species
AGUGCUGCCUGACUUCAUGCCUUUCUCUUCUUUCAAUAAGUCAUGCAGCACAGA